GACGAACGCUGGCGGCGUGCCUAAUACAUGCAAGUCGAACGCUGAAGGAGGAGCUUGCUUCUCUGGAUGAGUUGCGCACGGGUGAGUAACGCGUAGGUAACCUGCCUGGUAGCGGGGGACGACUAUUGGAAACGAUUGCUAAUACCGCAUAACAGUAGAUGUUGCAUGACAUUCUCUUAACCUGAGCAAUUGCAACACUACUAGAUGGACCUGCGUUGUAUUAGCUAGUAGGUGAGGGAACGGCUCACCAAGGCAACGAUACAUAGCCGAGCUGAGAGGGUGGUCCGCCACACUGGGACUGAGAACCGGCCCAGACUCCUAAGGGAGGGAGCAGGAGGGAAUCUUCGGAAAUGGACGGAAGUCUUACCGAGCAACGCCGCGGGAGGGAAGAAGGGUGUCGGAUCGUAAAGCUCUGUUGUGAGAGGAGAAAGAGUGGGAGGGUGGAAAGUUCACACUGUGACGGUACCUAACCAGAAAGGGACGGCUAACUACGUG
rnacentral:rRNA from 1 species